rnacentral:rRNA from 1 species
UGGGGAAUAUUGUACAAUGGGCGAAAGCCUGAUGCAGCAACGCCGCGUGAGUGAUGAAGGCCUUCGGGUUGUAAAGCUCUGUCUUUUGGGACGAUAAUGACGGUACCAAAGGAGGAAGCCACGGCUAACUACGUGCCAGCAGCCGCGGUAAUACGUAGGUGGCAAGCGUUGUCCGGAUUUACUGGGCGUAAAGGAUGCGUAGGCGGAUUUUUAAGUGAGAUGUGAAAACCCUAAGCUUAACUUGGGGACUGCAUUUCAUACUGGAAAUCUAGAGUGCGGGAGAGGAGAAUGGAAUUCCUAGUGUAGCGGUGAAAUGCGUAGAGAUUAGGAAGAACACCAGUGGCGAAGGCGAUUCUCUGGACCGUAACUGACGCUGAGGCAUGAAAGCGUGGGUAGCAAACAGGAUUAGAUACCCUGGUAGUCCACGCCGUAAACGAUGAGUACUAGGUGUAGGAGGUAUCGACCCCUUCUGUGCCGCAGUUAACACAAUAAGUACUCCGCCUGGGAAGUACGAUCGCAAGAUUAAAACUCAAAUGAAUUGAC